UAAUUAUAGACACUAUCGGUGAAAUACACUUUAUAAGCAGACGUAUAUUCACAAAUUUAACUGUUUUCAAAUAUGAAGUUCCUGAUUUUGUAUCUUCUGAUUGCUGUGGCAGCUAGCGCUGAGAUUUUCACCUUUAAGGAUGUACCCUGCCAUCAAUUCUUCCUGGGAUCCGUGUGUCCUUUCGUCUGUAUAAAAAGAGGACUUAAAACAGCCCCAUGUGGCCCCAACAAUACUUGUCGUUGCAGCAGAGAGUAAGACCCAUAGGCCAAGGGUGUUAAGACUUGUGUGUUCACAAUUCCAGCCGAAUAAAAUUAUUAUUAUUUGAA